AACGAACGCUGGCGGCAGGCUUAACACAUGCAAGUCGAACGCCCCGCAAGGGGAGUGGCAGACGGGUGAGUAACGCGUGGGAAUCUACCUAGUUCUACGGAACAACUGAGGGAAACUUCAGCUAAUACCGUAUACGCCCUACGGGGGAAAGAUUUAUCGGAAUUAGAUGAGCCCGCGUAAGAUUAGCUAGUUGGUGGGGUAAUGGCCUACCAAGGCGACGAUCUUUAGCUGGUCUGAGAGGAUGAUCAGCCACACUGGGACUGAGACACGGCCCAGACUCCUACGGGAGGCAGCAGUGGGGGAUAUUGGACAAUGGGCGCAAGCCUGAUCCAGCCAUGCCGCGUGAGUGAUGAAGGCCUUAGGGUUGUAAAGCUCUUUCAGUGGGGAAGAUAAUGACGGUACCCACAGAAGAAGCCCCGGCUAACUUCGUGCCAGCCGCCGCAGUAAAAC
rnacentral:rRNA from 1 species